CCUUCACGCACAUCCAAAGCUUUCUACUCUUUCUCUUUUAUAUGGAAUGUGGUUGUGGACCAAGUCAAAGUAGGAAUUAGUUUGGAUUUCAAAUUCUAUGAGAUAGAAUUUUAGGAAACCAAAACUCUUUCCUUAUGGUACUGAUUUUAUCCAGAUUUUUUUUGAGAUUUUCAUGACUUUUAUGCCACAUAUUAUAUGCCCUUUGCUGGUGGUCCAUGGUAGAAAAAGAAGGAGGGGGUGCCCAAGAGUUGGGCACCCCUUGUCUUGCCCUGUUUGGAUUUUUUUUGACUAGGUAUUUGACCUAGACAAGGAUUCAUCAUAUCUCAUUAUUUAAGAUGAAUUUUUUCUUGAAAUUUUUAUAGAUUAUAGAGUAUUAAGAAACCUUUGGGGCAUGUGAAAAUCAGAGAGAAAGAGUGUUGGGGCGUGGAGAUAUAAUAGAUACAAAACUGAAUGUCUAGGUGAGAGCAAAGAGAAGAAGAAGAGGGUCUUCUUCUAGGGUUGCUGAGUUCACCUCUUUCCUUCCUCCAUCUGUGAGUUUUCUGAGAGUGUCUCACAUCUAAAACUCCUUCUCCUACUUCUUAUCUUUGAAAGAGUCUAAAUCAAGAAGAAGGAGGCAUCUGAUCGACCAUCGAAGAAGGAUCAGCACAGUACUAGCAUACUAUGCUGAUUUCUUGGACCAGUACUUCUGAUCGUGAUUCGUGGGCUCGUGUGGAUGACUCCUAGAGGUC
rnacentral:lncRNA from 1 species